rnacentral:rRNA from 1 species
AUGAACGCUGGCGGCGUGCCUAAUACCUGCAAGUCGAGCGCACGGACGAGAAGCUUGCUUCUCUGAUGUUAGCGGCGGACGGGUGAGUAACACGUGGAUAACCUACCUAUAAGACUGGGAUAACUUCGGGAAACCGGAGCUAAUACCGGAUAAUAUUUUGAACCGCAUGGUUCAAAAGUGAAAGACGGUCUUGCUGUCACUUAUAGAUGGAUCCGCGCUGCAUUAGCUAGUUGGUAAGGUAACGGCUUACCAAGGCAACGAUGCAUAGCCGACCUGAGAGGGUGAUCGGCCACACUGGAACUGAGACACGGUCCAGACUCCUACGGGAGGCAGCAGUAGGGAAUCUUCCGCAAUGGGCGAAAGCCUGACGGAGCAACGCCGCGUGAGUGAUGAAGGUCUUCGGGUCGUAAAACUCUGUUAUUAGGGAAGAACAUAUGUGUAAGUAACUGUGCACAUCUUGACGGUACCUAAUCAGAAAGCCACGGCUAACUACGUG